rnacentral:rRNA from 1 species
AGUGAACGCUGGCGGUAGGCCUAACACAUGCAAGUCGAACGGCAGCACAGUAAGAGCUUGCUCUUACGGGUGGCGAGUGGCGGACGGGUGAGGAAUACAUCGGAAUCUACUUUUUCGUGGGGGAUAACGUAGGGAAACUUACGCUAAUACCGCAUACGACCUACGGGUGAAAGCAGGGGAUCUUCGGACCUUGCGCGAUUGAAUGAGCCGAUGUCGGAUUAGCUAGUUGGCGGGUUAAAGGCCCACCAAGGCGACGAUCCGUAGCUGGUCUGAGAGGAUGAUCGGCGACACUGGAACUGAGACACGGUCCAGACUCCUACGGGAGGCAGCAGUGGGGAAUAUUGGACAAUGGGCGCAAGCCUGAUCCAGCCAUACCGCGUGGGUGAAGAAGGCCUUCGGGUUGUAAAGCCCUUUUGUUGGGAAAGAAAAGCAGCAGGUUAAUACCCCGCUGUUCUGACGGUACCCAAAGAAUAAGCACCGGCUAACUUCGUG